CGUUAUCGGAUUCUGGGCGUAAAGCGGCGGUUUAGCGAGAUGUGAAAGCCCCGGGCCCAACCUGGGAACUGCAUUUCGAACUGGCAAACUAGAGUGUGAUAGAGGGUGGUAGAAUUUCAGGUGUAGCGGUGAAAUGCGUAGAGAUCUGAAGGAAUACCGAUGGCGAAGGCAGCCACCUGGGUCAACACUGACGCUCAUGUACGAAAGCGUGGGGAGCAAACAGGAUUAGAUACCCUGUAGGUCCACGCCGUCAACAAUGUAUAAUAGAAGCUGACGUAUACCCACCAAUUUUCCA
rnacentral:rRNA from 1 species